UACGGAGGGUGCGAGCGUUAAUCGGAAUUACUGGGCGUAAAGCGCGCGUAGGCAGUUUGGCAAGUCGGAUGUGAAAGCCCCAGGCUUAACCUGGGAAUUGCAUUCGAGACUGCUUGGCUAGAGUUUGGUAGAGGAAAGCGGAAUUCCGGGUGUAGCGGUGAAAUGCGUAGAUAUCUGGAGGAACACCGGUGGCGAAGGCGGCAUCCUGGACCGGUAUUGACGCUGAGGCGCGAAAGCCAGGGGAGCAAACGGG
rnacentral:rRNA from 1 species